rnacentral:rRNA from 1 species
UACGUAGGGUGCAAGCGUUGUCCGGAAUUAUUGGGCGUAAAGAGCUCGUAGGCGGCUUGUCACGUCGACUGUGAAAUCCCACGGCUCAACCGUGGAACUGCUGGGCAUACUGCGGGUCUUGGGCCAACUAGGGGUAGCCGGAACAAGCGGUGGAGCGGUGAAAUGCGUAGAUAUCGCUUGGAACGCCGAAGGUGAAAACAGGCUGCUGGGGUUGCGCCGACGCUGAGACACGAAAGCCAGGGGAGCAAACGGG